CUGUAGGCCGUGGUGGAGAACACUAGCAUGGUGCCUGCAUGACACUUCUUAUUAACAAAUGGUAUCUUUGUUUGAAUAUCCGCAGCUCGUGUAACUGUAGAAGGGCCACGUCCUGAAAAAGAAGGGGCACGUGCCAAGUGGCUCGGUUAUGUGGAGCAAACGCUGCAAGUGGAGGAGGAGAACUCUCCCCCGUUCAUUUUUGACAAACUGAUUUAGAAUAUGGUCUAGAAAUAAACAGAUUUACUUCAUGAAGACUAAAACAGAGCUUUACAAGGACCGGGCAGAAAAUCGCAAUCUAAAGACUGGUGCAGAUGCUGAGCAGGAUGCUGCUAUUAAACUUGCCCAAGAACGAGCAGAGAUAGUUGCCAAGUAUGACAGAGGACGGGAGGGUGCGCAGAUUGAGCCAUGGGAAGAUGCUGACUACCGUCUUUACAAAGUCACAGAUAGAUUUGGGUUUCUACAUCCAGAGGAGCUUCCUGUCCAUGAUGCAGUGAUAGAAAAGCAAAAACACCUUGAAAUUGAAAGAACUACAAAAUGGCUUAAGAUGUUGAAAAGCUGGGAAAAAUACAAGAAUAGUGAAAAGUUUCAUAGGAGAAUUUAUAAAGGAAUCCCACUGCAGUUCAGAGGGCAAGUCUGGUCUUUACUACUUGACGUCCCUAAAAUGAAAGAAGAAAUGAAAGACUUUUAUAAUAAAUUGAAGUGUCAAGCACGAGGGUCUUCACCAGAUAUUAGGCAAAUUGAUCUUGAUGUAAAUCGAACCUACAGAGAUCAUAUCAUGUUUCGAGACAGAUACGGUGUUAAGCAACAAUCUUUAUUCCAUGUUUUAGCUGCAUAUUCCAUAUAUAAUACGGAAGUUGGAUACUGUCAGGGAAUGAGCCAGAUCACAGCUUUACUCCUUAUGUACAUGAAUGAAGAAGAUGCCUUCUGGGCCUUGGUGAAACUUCUCUCUGGUCCAAAGCAUGCUAUGCACGGUUUUUUUAUUCCUGGUUUUCCAAAACUGUUGAGGUUUCAAGAACAUCAUGACAAAAUACUGAAAAAAUUUUUGUCCAAACUUAAGCAGCAUAUGGACUCCCAGGAUAUGUCCACUAGCUUUUACACAACAAAGUGGUUUUUCCAGUGUUUCCUUGAUCGUACUCCCUUUACGUUAAGCCUCAGGAUAUGGGAUAUCUACAUACUUGAAGGAGAGCGGAUUCUCACUGCUAUGUCUUACACAAUUCUGAAACUACACAGAAAGCAUCUGAUGAAAUUACAAAUGGAAGAGCUUGUAGAAUUUCUGCAGGAGUCUUUAGCCAAGGAUUUCUUCUAUGAAGAUGACUUUGUAAUAGACCAGCUCCAAAAUUCUAUAUCAGAAUUGAAACGAGCAAAGCUGGAUUUACCAGUAGCUGGUAAAGAAGAUGAAUUUCCAAAGAAGCCAUUGGGGCAGAUUCCAUCAGGACCUCAGCCUGCUAUGCUUAACUCCACUCCAAUGCUUAACGGACAGAACAGCACUGGUACACAAACAACAAGGAGGACAGAGAGGAGACCAUCCCCAGGAGAAGAACCAGAAAGUUCACUAAACAACCGAAAAAGAAUCGAUUCACUGGAAAAGAAACCUCCCUUAAAACAGCAGAAGGCUCGACCAGUAGAGACACAAAGUAGCGUGCCUAAGAACGAGAUAGAUACCAGAAGAAAGCCUCAGCCAAUAGAGCAAGACAACUCGAGACAGUAUAAUAAUGCAGCUGCUAAUCAAAAUUCUAAUGCUACUUCAAAUACAAGAAGGGAAUUUGUACCUAAGUGGAAUAAACCAUCUGAUCCAAAAAUUAUUGAAAAGACAAUGAAACUUGCUGCAGAGGUGAAAGGAAGGCCGGUAAACCAUUCAGUUUCAGGCCCACCACCAAGUCCUGGAGAAACUCAGCCUUUGAAUGUAAAGCAAAAGAUGAGGGUUUUGGAUGCUGAUGAAGGUAAGCGGGGGUCUAAUGCAUCUCAGUAUGACAAUGUUCCAGAAGUUGAGAAUGAGAAUGAGAAUCUUGUUGAAGAGAUGCUUGAGAGAGCUCAUCCACAGAGUCCUAGGCAUGUAGCAUAUUCUAAUAGUCCAAGAAAGCAAACUGAAAAAAUACCAACUCCAUUAAAAAUACCCAAUAAUUACACCUUGACUUCACAACCCAGAUCUCCAAAAUAUCCAUCACAAUCUGAUGGACCACCUCAUGGACUGAAUGUAAAACAGCCACUGCCAUGUUAUAGUAAUCCACCUACUUACCAUGGAAAUUCUCCAAAGCAUGUUUCCAGUGUAGGCAAUACAAGUUCUGUACCUCUACAUUACCCUGGGAAUCGAACCAGCCCUUUUGGUAGGCCAUAUGGUUCUUUUAUUUCAGUAGAUUAUUCUCCCGAUAAACUACAAAUGAAUUCUUAUCCUCCCAGUCGCCAAAAUCCUCUUUCACCAACCCCUGGUCAGAUAGAAGUAGCCCCUGUCGAUGCUUAUACCAGCAACUCGAGGUCCCCCACGGGUGUCAAAUUCAUAAUCCCUCCAGUGGAUUAUUUACCAGAAGAUAGAAAGUGGCCAGAUGCUGCGUAUGUUUACAGACACGAACCCUACAGGCAGCCCUGGAGCCAAGACGGCAACAAAGGCCACAUGGAUAAUUUCCAGAAAUACCAACAUUUUCAGUCAACACCUUUUCAAGACCAUAGUCUUCCUGCUGUUUCUGUGGAUAGUCCAAUAAGAUACAGGACUUCACCAACCUUUGAAGAGCACGGUUCACCACAAUACCAAUAUUCAAGCCCAUCAGCUCAAGCCCAGCACUAUCGAAAUAGAAAUGAUGGAUUGUCUAUGCAUGAAUCUGUGCUUCUCUGAGAAUCUGUCUGUACUUAGUAAAAUGGCAAGAACCAAAACCAGUUAAACAUUACUGCGUUAGUAGUAGUCCACCUCAGUUCUUUGAUGAAAUGCAGACAGUUCGCGUGACUCUCAAAAAUAACAACACUAUUUCGAAGAUGUUUCAGACUUUCAUUGAAGGCUAGUUGAGUUCUUGGACUUGCAUUGAAGCUAUUGAAAGUGAUCUGAUGCACGUAGACAUAGCAAUAAGAUCAUAUAUAUGACGUGGUUAAUGCUGUCAUCCUUCCUUACAUUUAAAUAACUUGUGUUACCAUCUUUCUGCCUAAAACCUGUAACACAUUUACAACUUCUAUUUUGACUGACAUUGUUAAUGCACUGUAUAGAUGUGUGUGUGUGUGUGCGCGCGUGUGAGUGUGCACUUACAAUACACAAACGCAUAUGGAAAGGAGCUAAAGAGUUUAAAUGUAAAUGCAUUUAACUUUGGGCAAAGCUUGUGAAGUACUUUUAUUUCAUAUUAAUUUUUCUUUGUAAUUUAUUUCAGAAGCCAUUCGUUUUGAAUGGGAAUUUCUGUCGUUUUUAUACAGCUGCCUCAGCAUCCCAGUAUCUGUUCUGGGCAAGAGAGAUGCUUUGGGAUUAUUAUUUAAUCUUAUGUGAGAGUUAAUUUCCUCUCCUUUGACUACUGUUUGUCAUUUUCCUCAGCAAGAAGGAGCAGGCAGGCAAAAGCAGAAAGCCAAAAAUGUCUCUCUAAUCUGGCUAAGAUAUGGUGCUUAAAAUUCAGGGCAGUGUUUAGUUUUUUAGGUUGCAUCGAAAGUGGAGAAUUUUUACCUUCUCACCCAAAUCUACCUUCAGAAUGUCGUCCUAUAUGCAAACUAUUGGAGCACAGCGAGAGUAAUGCCAGAUACAGAAAUGGUGCUGCACCCUUCGCUUUUUGCCAUGCUGUUCUGUCAAACUAAACAAACCGGUUGCAGGGCCAAAUCUCACCGGUAUCAGAGAAUGACCAGCUCCUCGGCGCUCUAGUGAAGUACACGCAGGAGUCUGAGAUCUGGUCGAGGCUUGACAUUCCCUGAGCUGUAUCCAGCUGUGGCCUGUCUGUAACGCUUCAGGGAAGGUGACACACGAAAGAGAAAACCCAUUUAGCCAGAAGUCUAUUAAGGAGAGUAUUCCCCCUUAAUCCCUGCUGAUGACUACCUAAAGCCUCAAAGCAUGAUAUUGUCUGCAAUUGUUUGAGAAUGAUCAGACCGAUGUGUGGGCAAUCCAGUUUUUCCUUGGGCCAGGAAGGAAGGUCCUUCACACAUGUAAGCGUCGGUUACCUUCAUAACACCUGACAGCAGGAUUAAUCCCUUACUGUACAAGUAACCGCUCUAUCCUCGCUACUAAUAAAAGUUUCAAGACGAAUAGUAAGGGAUUUUUAGCAAUCUUGGAGGUUGCAGAAGAGAAAUAUCUUGUUGUUAGUCAAAGAUACACCUUUGUAAUAAACCACUCAAUAAUUCCAAAAUUAGAUGCAAAGAGUAAACAACAUCGAAAUGUCAGAAGACAGAACAGCCUUCCAGCGUGGGGAAGCAAAUCCAAAGCUUCCCUGAGGUACGUACACAUUUUCCAGGGAGAUUUCUCUCAAGAAUCCUAUCCUGAAUUUCACAUCAUCCUCAAUAUGACUUUGAAAUGGACUUGCAAAUUACAGACUUUUUUUUUUUUUUUAAUCUCCCCCUUGGGUGGCAUUACACUGCCUGCACAAAGAGGAAUACUAUUUAAAAUAUGCCAUCAAACACCCACCGUUUCAUUUCCAGCAGAGUACAUUCUGCUUUCAAUACUUCAGUCAGAGGAAAAUACAAUCUUUUUUUGUAGUCCUUUAAAUACCGCAUUUUUGUAAAGCUCUGUAAACGUAGCAUCGUUAAGCAGUUCCUGAACCAAGUGUGGUGUAGGCUCCUCUUUAGAUGGCAGAAAGCUACUGCGUAGUUUGCUGCAGGGUUGUUUUUUGUUUCUUUUGGGGGAAUAUUAAGAUAAUCCAAAUGCUUUUAACAGCAGAGUUGCAAUAAGGAAAUGACUAGGCCGGCAAUUGGAAUUGGAAACAGAAUUGCGGUUGUUUCAGGAUAGCCUUUAAGUGGUUGCCAAAUCUGGUGAGCUGGGGAAAGACCAUUUUCUGGUUCUUUGUGCCAAGAGGACUUCAUCCUGCAGCAGGGAGCGCGUGGGUCCCUCUCCCGAGCGAUUUGAUUCUCUCUGCUAACGACCGCCUGCCUUUGUGCUUACAGACUUGGUAUGUUAGAAAAUCAAUGGUGCUUUUAAAGAUCCAAACCCACACGUUCUGAAUAAUCUGAAAACGAACAGAUCUCGUCCUGACUUCCCUUUCUUCCUUUCUUUUCUCUUUUUGUAGUAUGUUUAUUUUUACUGAUGAUUUUAUUGUCAGCCUUGUCAAGGUGAGCUGUGCUUGAUUCUUCCAUCUCCUUACUUUGAUAAUCUGCCAACUCAUGUUUUUCAGAGGCUUUGUGAUGCCUUUUUGCUGCUUUUUUUUUUCUGCUGUUCAUUGAGAACAUGAUAAAGCAGUUAAUAUCAGGGGUUACUGUUUGCCUCUUCAGCUUUUCCUCUCUCCAGACAAUGUGCAAAUUAAAAAAAAAAAAAAAUCAUUUAUGUUCUCAAUAUUAUAGUUGGUCAGAAAUUCUCCGGAAAGGUUUUUUUUCUGACAGAAAGCAAUUUAAUUUAGCAACUGGUGAAGGACGCUGUAGUGUGGAGGCACUUGUACGGUCUCUGCAAUCCAAGCUCAUGAGUUGCUUCUGCUUGGUACCAAGCAACAAAAGCUGGAUUACACGCAGGGCUGAUCGAGCAUUCCUUUGUGAAAUGCUGUGCCGUGCCACGGAAACAUGCCAGCGCAGACUGGCGCUAGGUCAGGUGGAGCUACAACGUCCUUGGUUUGCUUAGGUAAAUGCCCCCUCGUUUCCUGAUCAUAUGUUGCUUUUGUCAGAUUUUAGGAAGAGAGGAAACGGCCUCAAGUUGCA